rnacentral:misc_RNA from 1 species
GAGUCACGGUGUACUUAAAUAAUCGCUGGGACGGUCGUUCGAACGAAAAGUGCUGACUGAUCGUAAGUGCGCGCAAGUGGAUAGAACGAAAUCAUCUUGCUGAUCACGUUCCAAGUGAAUGAAUCGGACGGAGCCGUCGUGCCUGUAUUAUUUAUAAUAUACGUACAGACAUGCAGUUUUCGUGUAGAAGACGCGUACGUGUUCGUAAUCAGUGAUUCCAACGAGGAAUGUCGCGACACACCUAUUCUACGAUUCUCUCUUCUCAACGAUACACAGCGGAGAACGUCUGGAUAAUGAAUUGUUCUAAUAUCGCAUACCAAUAUCGAGAUAUAAUAUUGGAACGUUUCGCCAAUAACGUUGCCUCUCAUCGGGCACCAUGAAUUUAUAAGAUUUAUAAUUAACGAUUCGAAACG